rnacentral:rRNA from 1 species
CCCUUAGAUGUUCUGGGCCGCACACGCGCUACACUGAAGGAGGCAGCGUGUACUCCUGGAUCGAAAGAUUUGGGUAACCCGCGAAUCUCCUUCGUGCUAGGGAUUGAGGUUUGCAAUUAUCCUUCAUGAACGAGGAAUUCCCAGUAAGUGCAAGUCAUAAGCUUGCGCUGACUACGUCCCUGCCCUUUGUACACACCGCCCGUCGCUACUACCGAUUGAAUGAUUUAGUGAGGACUUCGGACUGGGACCGAUGCGGCUUUCGGGCUGCGUCGGUAUUCUGGAAAGAUGUCCAAACUGUAUCAUUUAGAAGAAGUAAAAGUCGUAACA